UUUUUAAUGGUUGACCUCGGAUCAGGUAGGAAUACCCGCUGAACUUAAGCAUAUCAAUAAGCGGAGGA
rnacentral:rRNA from 1 species